GCCAGUGUGGUAUAGCGGUUUGAGCAUUGGAUUUUGAUCCUUGAGAUCAGGGUUCGAAUCCCUGUUUGGCC